UUUAUGAUAACUGGAAGCUUUUUGGCUGGAAUCUCUACUAUGUUUCAAAAACAAAUGAAAGGAAAACCUGGCACGAUGCUGAGUACUUUUGCAGCUCCAGAGAUUCCCACUUGAUCUCUAUCCUGAAUGAGGAAGAACAGAAGUACAUCUCUUCAAAGCUCAACGAGUCCGCCUGGAUUGGCCUAACGGAUGAAAAUGUGGAAGGCCAGUGGGAGUGGUCGGAUGGUUCCAGAUUAAUAGUACAAUACUGGGCCAAUGGCAAUCCCAAUCGAUCCGCUAAUGAUGGCGAAGCAGAUGAAGACUGCGCUGCCAUAAAACCCUUAGGAAGUGAUUUGAACUGGAUCGAUGACAAUUGCCAAGAACUUAAAAGAUGGGUUUGUAAGGAGAGAUUAGUUGCAGGUUCCAAUUAGUUGGAGAGAUUAGUGUCUGGCGACACAUAAAAUUUAUUAAUCAUGUUGACCGGCACAUUAAAGAUGGAG